rnacentral:rRNA from 1 species
UACGAAGGGGGGCUAGCGUUGCUCGGAAUGACUGGGCGUAAAGGGCGCGUAGGCGGAGUGCUUUGUCAGACGUGAAAUUCCAGGGCUCAACCUUGGGGCUGCGUUUGAUACUGGGGAUCUCGAGUCCGGAAGAGGUGAGUGGAACUGCGAGUGUAGAGGUGAAAUUCGUAGAUAUUCGCAAGAACACCAGUGGCGAAGGCGGCUCACUGGUCCGGUACUGACGCUGAGGUGCGAAAAGCGUGGGGGAGCAAAACAGGGAU